rnacentral:tRNA from 1 species
UCCCUAGUGGCUCAGCUGGUAAAGAAUCUGCCUGCAAUGCAGGAGACCUGGGUUUGAUCCCUGGGUUGGGAA